rnacentral:rRNA from 1 species
AACGAACGCUGGCGGCAUGCCUAACACAUGCAAGUCGAACGAGACCUUCGGGUCUAGUGGCGCACGGGUGCGUAACGCGUGGGAACCUGCCCUUAGGGUCGGAAUAACUCCCCGAAGGGGGUGCUAAUACCGGAUAAUGUCUUCGGACCAAAGAUUUAUCGCCUUUGGAUGGGCCCGCGUUGGAUUAGCUAGUUGGUAGGGUAAAAGCCUACCAAGGCGACGAUCCAUAGCUGGUCUGAGAGGAUGAUCAGCAACUCUGGGACUGAGACACGGCCCAGACUCCUACGGGAGGCAGCAGUGGGGAAUAUUGGACAAUGGGCGAAAGCAUGAUCCUGCUAUGACGCGUGAGUGAUGAAGGCAUUAGGGUUGUAAAGCUCUUUUACCCGGGAUGAUAAUGACAGUACCGGGAGAAUAAGCUCCGGCUAACUCCGUG